rnacentral:tRNA from 2 species
GACUCCGUAGCUCAGUUGGUAGAGCAACUGACUCUUAAUCAGUGGGUCGAGAGUUCGAAUCUCUCCGGGGUCA